rnacentral:lncRNA from 1 species
CUCCGGAGGCGGCACGCGGCCAGCGCUGCUCCGCUCCGGGGCUCUUUACCCCGGAGUCGGGGCCGGGCGCGCGGGAAACGGUUACCGAGCGGACCUGGACGCCCUCUGCCUUCGUCAUUUCCUGCCGGCCGGUCGGUUUCCGGAUGAAACGAGGAGCCAGGCAUCUCCUUGGAAACAAUGCCAUCUUUGAAUGUGAGAGAUAAACCUAGUUUCAGCAUGUCUGCAGCAGAGACCAGUACAUCAGGCUUAUUCCCACAGGAAGCCUCCUAAAGCCUGUGGCGCGGCAACCAUUUCCAGGACUAAAUAAUAAUGUGUCAGAUGCCUGUGAGUGGACUGCCUGGCCAAAUGACUCAUGAAGAUAUUCACGGAAGAAUAGUCAAAAACCAAAGAAAAGGCAUAUUCUAGAAGCACCUUCAAUUCCAUCGAGGAUUUUUGAGCAGCUGAAGAAGAAAGUUCUGAAAAUAUGAGUGACAGGACUCCAGCACAUUUUUUUUAGUUGUUUCUUACAUUAUCUUUGUUAACCCAUCCGCUUUUGUGUAUAAUAUUAAGUUAUUUUCCACUACUGCAAUGGCUAGUAAUUUACUUAGGCUCAGAGUUUUACUCUGUAUGGACAGAGAAAUAGGAGGUAACAACAGUGGGAGAACAAAUAGGAACAGUUCACUGGGAUGUUGGUCCCCAGAAAUUGGCUUUCAUUGAAUAAUUCCUAAAGGGUGUCGUGUGCUGAAUUGCUUUUUCAUAGUGAUGUGCUGCUUCUUGUUCAUACUCUUAUGACUUUAAUUUCACCUUUAUCUACUCCCAGCCUCUGUAUAUGCCUACGUUUUUAAAAAUAAUUUUUGGCACUG